UACAAUCAAUUGGAAUAAAGUAUUUUAAUGUGUAUUAUAUGCAACUAUUUAUAUAGUAUAAAAGAAAAAGAGAGAGAGAGAGAGAAAUAAAGUAACAAGGAAAUAAAGUAACAGAAAUAGAAAGGUUAAACAAGAAAA